rnacentral:rRNA from 1 species
GCUCAGGAUGAACGCUAGCUACAGGCUUAACACAUGCAAGUCGAGGGGCAGCAUGGUCUUAGCUUGCUAAGGCCGAUGGCGACCGGCGCACGGGUGAGUAACACGUAUCCAACCUGCCGUCUACUCUUGGACAGCCUUCUGAAAGGAAGAUUAAUACAAGAUGGCAUCAUGAGUCCGCAUGUUCACAUGAUUAAAGGUAUUCCGGUAGACGAUGGGGAUGCGUUCCAUUAGAUAGUAGGCGGGGUAACGGCCCACCUAGUCUUCGAUGGAUAGGGGUUCUGAGAGGAAGGUCCCCCACAUUGGAACUGAGACACGGUCCAAACUCCUACGGGAGGCAGCAGUGAGGAAUAUUGGUCAAUGGGCGAGAGCCUGAACCAGCCAAGUAGCGUGAAGGAUGACUGCCCUAUGGGUUGUAAACUUCUUUUAUAAAGGAAUAAAGUCGGGUAUGGAUACCCGUUUGCAUGUACUUUAUGAAUAAGGAUCGGCUAACUCCGUGCCAGCAGCCGCGGUAAUACGGAGGAUCCGAGCGUUAUCCGGAUUUAUUGGGUUUAAAGGGAGCGUAGAUGGAUGUUUAAGUCAGUUGUGAAAGUUUGCGGCUCAACCGUAAAAUUGCAGUUGAUACUGGAUAUCUUGAGUGCAGUUGAGGCAGGCGGAAUUCGUGGUGUAGCGGUGAAAUGCUUAGAUAUCACGAAGAACUCCGAUUGCGAAGGCAGCCUGCUAAGCUGCAACUGACAUUGAGGCUCGAAAGUGUGGGUAUCAAACAGGAUUAGAUACCCUGGUAGUCCACACGGUAAACGAUGAAUACUCGCUGUUUGCGAUAUACGGCAAGCGGCCAAGCGAAAGCGUUAAGUAUUCCACCUGGGGAGUACGCCGGCAACGGUGAAACUCAAAGGAAUUGACGGGGGCCCGCACAAGCGGAGGAACAUGUGGUUUAAUUCGAUGAUACGCGAGGAACCUUACCCGGGCUUAAAUUGCAGAUGAAUUACGGUGAAAGCCGUAAGCCGCAAGGCAUCUGUGAAGGUGCUGCAUGGUUGUCGUCAGCUCGUGCCGUGAGGUGUCGGCUUAAGUGCCAUAACGAGCGCAACCCUUGUUGUCAGUUACUAACAGGUUCCGCUGAGGACUCUGACAAGACUGCCAUCGUAAGAUGUGAGGAAGGUGGGGAUGACGUCAAAUCAGCACGGCCCUUACGUCCGGGGCUACACACGUGUUACAAUGGGGGGUACAGAGGGCCGCUACCACGCGAGUGGAUGCCAAUCCCCAAAACCUCUCUCAGUUCGGACUGGAGUCUGCAACCCGACUCCACGAAGCUGGAUUCGCUAGUAAUCGCGCAUCAGCCACGGCGCGGUGAAUACGUUCCCGGGCCUUGUACACACCGCCCGUCAAGCCAUGGGAGCCGGGGGUACCUGAAGUGCGUAACCGCGAGGAGCGCCCUAGGGU